rnacentral:misc_RNA from 1 species
UGGUAACUCAUCGGUUUCAUCCACCUUCACUUCAGAUUCCAGAAACAAGCACUCAAAAUGUCGAACCCUUCAGAUGAAAGUGGCAAGGAACCAAACCUUGGUAAUGAUCCUCCUAAAGGUGAAGUAAAUGAUGCCCUUCCUGCAGAAGAUCCAAAGGGUGCAGAAGAAGAAAGCCAAGAUCCAUCUCUAGCGGAGCAGGAGGAACUAAUGAAGAAAAAAUAUGGUGGAUUAGUGAAAAAGAAACCUCCAUUGAUAACUAAGGACCAUGAACGUGCUUUUUUCGAUUCUGCAGACUGGGCACUAGGAAAGCAAGGGGGACACAAGGCCAAAACACCUGCUGAGGCACUUCGCCCGAAAUUGGAGCCGACACCACAUCAGCAACUUCGUACUCGUCUCUCAGCUUCUAAACUGACAGAUACUGGUGAAGAUGGUAGCAACAACGAUCUUGACCAGCUAGAUGAUGAGCAGAGCGGAAUACCAGCAGCGGAUGGUGAGAAUAAGUCUUAGAUCAGAGGCAGCUGGACCAAAACAUUCUUGAGCAUCCUCAUCAAAGUUCCCUGCUGAAUUGAACUGAAAGUGGUGUUGUAAAUCAGGCUAGCUACUUAUAUAGAGGUAAAAAAGAAGAAUAAUUGCUCAUGUGGCGAAUUUUUGUACUGAGAUUAGAUUUGUUGUCCUAUACUGAGCUGAUUUCCUUGCAUAAAAUUCAGAAAACUUCCUUGUCUGGCUGUGCUAUGACAUAUUGUACCUUUUUGGUGGUAAAAGUUCUACAUUGAUCCAUGCUAUAAUGAAAUGUUGAAG